GACGAACGCUGGCGGCGUGCUUAACACAUGCAAGUCGAACGGAAAGGCCCUGCUUUUGUGGGGUGCUCGAGUGGCGAACGGGUGAGUAACACGUGAGUAACCUGCCCUUGACUUUGGGAUAACUUCAGGAAACUGGGGCUAAUACCGGAUAGGAGCUCCUGCUGCAUGGUGGGGGUUGGAAAGUUUCGGCGGUUGGGGAUGGACUCGCGGCUUAUCAGCUUGUUGGUGGGGUAGUGGCUUACCAAGGCUUUGACGGGUAGCCGGCCUGAGAGGGUGACCGGCCACAUUGGGACUGAGAUACGGCCCAGACUCCUACGGGAGGCAGCAGUGGGGAAUAUUGCACAAUGGGCGGAAGCCUGAUGCAGCAACGCCGCGUGCGGGAUGAUGGCCUUCGGGUUGUAAACCGCUUUCGCCUGUGACGAAGCGUGAGUGACGGUAAUGGGUAAAGAAACACCGGCUAACUACGUG
rnacentral:rRNA from 1 species